rnacentral:lncRNA from 1 species
CAUCUGAAUGGACACCUGUGUGCCAUCCCAGCACUGGGGAUAUGGUGGUGGUGAGGACUGCUGAAACUAAAAGCAAAGAAAAAAUUUCCAUGUUAAAGACAUUCUCUUCAUACUGAAAAGGAACGGCAACAUUUUGAUCUUCAAGGACAGAGACUUAAGACCAGGAAAAUGGGCCUGGGGCCAAGAUGGCCGAAAAGGAACAGC